rnacentral:tRNA from 1 species
AUCUUUCUAGUAUAAAAGACAGUACAGAUGGCUUCCAACCAUCUAGACUUGGUUAAACUCCAAGGAAAGAUA